GGCAACACCACCAGGGCCUUUCAUCAAAAGCAGGGCCCUGGCACAUCCCUCUGGAGCAGUCUCUGAUGAGUGCUACUGACUUAUCUCCGAGUCACUAUUAGUGACAUUCAGGGCAGGAUGACCUUCCUGUUCGGGGCUGUGCCCAGGUCUCAUCUGCAGGACUCGCCAGCAGCAGGUGUAUUUCAUCUCCUGGCUCCAAGCCUCGGUCUCUGAGAAGAGCCACCCAUACUCCAUCAGUGACAUCACCUGGAACCACCUGGAGAGAGGGGAUCCCCGCCUGCAAAAUGAGACCCUAUCUUCUGCCUGCUUUCAGGUCGGUGCCUGCUGGUAGCAAGCCAUGGGCUGUGGAGCUUCGAUUUCCUCACUGUGUAGCUGAGAGAGACAGUGUGAAGAUUGGACUCAAAUCAUAGGGAAUGCAUAGACUGCCGGGUCUCUCGCUUAGCCUGUUUUCUCCAGCGAGUACAGAAUUGUAUUGAUUGUCAUGUGUUUUCUUGGGACUGGGCACACGGCCAUCCAUUUGUUGAGAUUUGCCAGCAUACAGUCUGGUAAAUGUAGACGCUCUAUAGCAAGGAACUAACAGCAGGUACCUAACCUGCUAAACAUUUUUUUUAAACAUCAUCAUCAUCAUCACCACCACCACCAUCAUCAUUCACAAUGUUUAACUAUGUAGCCCAGGAUAACCUGGAACUUGUGAUGUUCAUAUCUCCAUCUUCAGAAUCCAGGGACUACAGACCCAUCAACAUGCCCUACAAUUGUGGGAAAAUUUAUGAAGGUAACUUUUACCUUUGGAAGUUUCUGGAAAAUAGACAAAUAGAAACCCACAAUGAAAAUGCUACCAUACCAUAAGUCCACAGUUGAAAUUUACAGUUGCUCCUAAGUGCAGUGACUCUUAAUGUUUGUUGGUUCCUUCUUGAGCUUGGCCACAUCUUACCUGUGUGACCUGGAGAGAGUUGCUUAACCUCUAUGUGAUUUCAUGUCUGCGUCUUUAAAAUCAAGUAUAGGAAAUCCUUCCUGGAGUCACUGUGAACAUUAAAUGAGUUUGAAAUAUAAAA